rnacentral:misc_RNA from 1 species
AUCUUGCAGCCUUUUCCAUCCAAGGAAAUGGUUCUUGGUGUCUGCUGAAGAGAUGAAUUUCUGUAGAGAAUCAUUUGGCAGGUACUCGUAAACCAGAGCUCUUCUAAACCCGUCAGCACAGAAUCCAAUCAAGCGAACCACAUUGACAUGGUGGAUUUUACCUAUUGUUCCAACUUCAUUGACGAACUCCUCUCCGUUUCCUUUGGAGUUGUUGAGGACUUUAACAGCUACCAAAAUUUCAUCAGAUAGCUUUCCUCUGAACACAGUUCCAUAAGCUCCUUGGCCCAAUUCGUCCUUGAAUUGGUUAGUCAUCCUCUUAAUAUCAUCAUAGGAAUAUCUAGUAGGCUUGAAAGAUUUGUAGUCAUCCAAAAAUUUUUCAAUCUUGGACUGAUAUUGUCUUUCUAUUUUGUUGAACCUAUAACUGCGGCAGAGUAGAAUGGCUGCUGCUACAAGGAGGAUAGGACCCAGGAUUACACCUGUUUCUACAAAUUUGGCUGCUAUCCCUUUAUGUGGCUUGAAAACGAGCAUGCCGUAGCAUUGAGUUUCAGAUGUGUUGUUGUUGCUCUUCAAUCUGCAGUACUUGCCUUUAACUUCACAAUGUUUACAUUUGGGAUUGUCCCAACUCAAACCAAGAAUACUUUCCUGGGAAUAGAAAUCAUAAUCAUAUGGAACUGGUGAAAUAUCACGUAUCUUGGUGCAAGACAACAGGUCAAGGUCACCGAUAGAACUAUCUGAAUCAACGGCAUAGACUUGAUAUUGUGGACGACUAAGGCAGGGGAUUAGGUCUGAACCUCCUUUUGAAGAGCAAUUGAAUAAGGUGCGUUCAUACGGGGAAACCAUAAAAUGGAAGGGAGAAACAGAUAGAUUGAAGUUCAAAAGCCUUCUUGGAAGACAAACUUCAGCUGGAUCAUUAGCAUAAAUAACUUGAAAGUUAUAAUCAAUGUCAUGGAUGAAGAGUUUCCCCCAAUUUGCAAGCUCCAGAACAGUAUCGUUCUUCUCUGAGCAAGAAAGGUGAAACUCAGAUUGAGGAUAUCCACAGUGGAAUGGUUGCCUGCCUUUGAUUCGGAAGGGAAAUCGGACGGGCGGGCCGUAGCUACCACAUGUUGAUGUAUUGCAAUCAUCAAGGCAUAAUCCAUGAUCUUCAAGCAAUACAAUCAACCACAACAAGCAAAUCAAAGAUACAUUCAUUUCUUUUGAAUUACUCGCCAUUCCUAUCAACAAUCUUAUUUUUUAUAGCUUUUGCUUCUUAAUUAGCUUAU